CAUCUCUUUAUGAUUAAAAUAUUAAGUUGACUCUGCUCAAUGAUUAAUUAAAUAGCUGCAGUAUUUUAACUGUACAAAGGUAGCAUAAUAAAUUGUUUUUUAAAUGAAAACUGGAAUGAAUGAGGUGAUGAAAUAAAAACUUUAUUAAAUUUAAAUUUUGAAUUUUAUUUUAAAGUAAAAAAGCUUUAAUUUUUUUAAGGGACGAGAAGACCCUAUAGAAUUUAAUAAUUUUAUUAAUAAAAUUAUUAAUAAUAUUAUUUAUUUGGGAGGUAUAUUAAAUUAAAAAACUUUAAUUUAUAAUUUACAUAAAUAUAUGAUUUAUUUAGAUUUUAAAUAUUAAAUAUAAGAUUAAAUUACCUUAGGGAUAACAGCGUAAUAUUAUUUUAUAGUUCUUAUUGAAAAUAAUGUUU
rnacentral:rRNA from 1 species